rnacentral:tRNA from 1 species
GGCUCGUUGGUCUAGGGGUAUGAUUCUCGCUUUGGGUGCGAGAGUCCCGGGUUCAAAUCCGGACGAGCCC